rnacentral:lncRNA from 1 species
CCUACUUCCGGCUUAGAGACAGCAGAAAGCCAAAAGAGAGCUUGAAGAGUGUCCCCGGAGAGGAAGAGGAGGAAAACGAAGAACAGAAAGAGAGAGGCACGGCCGGGAGGUAGCGCGGCGUCGGCUACUUACUGUAGGAAUAGCUGCUCACUUCCGAGGCGAACGGGGAAUGGGCCGACUUGGACUGGCCUCUGGCCUUGAACCCCACCUCCAUCUUCCUGGCUUUGGUGGCCCUUUUGUGUUUACCUUCUCUAGAGGAUUUCAGAGACAAGCCCAGGCCUUUGGCCAGUGUCUUCGUGUUCUUGCCCAGCAGGCUGUCAUAAGGACUCAAGAACCUGCCGCAACUCCCACUAGUUUUCGAUUUCCCCCCAGAACUGUCCGAAAACUUGAAGGGUGACUUCAACUUGUCCUGCUUUGUGAGGGAGAGGGCCUUGUCUAGCUUGCUUGCCAACUGCUCCUGGUCACUGGCCAUCUUCUUCUUCUUAAUCUUUAGCUGGGGAGGGAAGUUGGGUCAUACAUUAGGACAUUCGGCAAAACAGGAUAGUGGGUUUCAGUGCACACCUCUGACAACCCUGGGCUCUAAUCCUUCCUCAUACCUCAGUCCUUACACUUUGUAGAACGAGGAUAUUUGUGUCUGGACAUUACCUGGCUGUUCUGAAGAUGAACUGAGAUAAGGCACAGAAAGCAUUUAUCAGCUUGCAAUUCCAGCACUGGGGAGGCUGAGGCAGGAGUACUACCAAGAGUUCAAGGCUAGCCGGGACUAUACAGCAAGACAGUGUCUCAAAAAACAAAACAAAACAAAAAAACCAGAAAGCAUUUAUCAAAAUGCCUGACCCAAAGUAACCACUUAUUAAAUAGGUGUUACUAUGGUUACAAUUAUCACUGGCCCUGGUAUUUCCACUCUGGCUUUCCAUGGCACUUAUCUUGUACCUCCUCAGAAGCACUUUAAGCAACCAGAACCACUGAUGGCUCAGAGAAUGUAGCUGAGUUGAGAGAGGAAAAAGGUAGCAUUUCAUAAAGAGGAAAGAAGUUGGGACACUGUCAUGUAAACAACAACAAAAGCAUCCCUGAC